rnacentral:rRNA from 1 species
CAAACGGGUGAGUAACGCGUAGACAACCUGACCGCAAAGAUAGGGGACAACAGUCCGAAAGGACUGCUAAUACCGAAUGUUGUGUCAACUUCCGCAUGGGAGAUGCAUUUAAAGAUGGCCUCUACUUGUAAGCUAUCGCUUUGCGAUGGGUCUGCGUCUGAUUAGCUAGUUGGUGGGGUAACGGCCUACCAAGGCGACGAUCAGUAGCCGGUCUGAGAGGAUGAACGGCCACAUUGGAACUGAGACACGGUCCAGACUCCUACGGGAGGCAGCAGUGGGGAAUCUUCCGCAAUGGGCGAAAGCCUGACGGAGCAACGCCGCGUGAGUGAAGAAGGUCUUCGGAUCGUAAAGCUCUGUUGUCGGGGACGAAUGUACCUUUUUGUGAAUAAUGAGAGGUAAUGACGGUACCUGACGAGGAAGCCACGGCUAACUACGUGCC